GACGAACGCUGGCGGCGUGCUUAACACAUGCAAGUCGAACGGAAAGGCCCUUCGGGGUACUCGAGUGGCGAACGGGUGAGUAACACGUGGGUGAUCUGCCCUGCACUUUGGGAUAAGCCUGGGAAACUGGGUCUAAUACCGAAUAGGACCGCGCGCUUCAUGGGGUGUGGUGGAAAGCUUUUGCGGUGUGGGAUGGGCCCGCGGCCUAUCAGCUUGUUGGUGGGGUAAUGGCCUACCAAGGCGACGACGGGUAGCCGGCCUGAGAGGGUGACCGGCCACACUGGGACUGAGAUACGGCCCAGACUCCUACGGGAGGCAGCAGUGGGGAAUAUUGCACAAUGGGCGCAAGCCUGAUGCAGCGACGCCGCGUGAGGGAUGACGGCCUUCGGGUUGUAAACCUCUUUCACCAGGGACGAAGCGCAAGUGACGGUACCUGGAGAAGAAGCACCGGCCAACUACGUG
rnacentral:rRNA from 1 species